CUUCCUCUCGAAGGAAAGCCUGAACCAAAUAUCUACCGUCCGAUCGCCGGACGCGUCCAUCCCCGCCUCCGCUUUCCCCUGCCGCCGUGGGUCCCUCGUUCUCUCUCUUCCACCUGUUUUGAAGGGUCUCUCUUCCACCUUAUGUGAAGGGAGCUUAUGGUCUUAUCACAGCAACGGAAUGUGGCUAUAAAAGGUGGGAAAAGAGAUCCAAAGCGAGCGCGUUUUGAUCGCUCCUUCUGCUGAACAUUGUUCUCUGUAAGAAUUUUGUUGGGUUUUUGAUCUCCCUCUAGGGUUCUUGAGAUCCUAUCUCGGUCUCCUAUGGAAUUGCCGCCGGGCUUCCGAUUCCGUCCGACGGACGCGGAGCUCGUGAAUCAUUACCUCGAGGAAAAGAUCGCUGGCCGGAUCAAGUCCGCGGACGAGGUCAUCUCCGAGAUAGAUAUCUGCAAGUCCGAGCCGUGGGACCUUCCCGGUUCAUCAUUGAUCAAAGCAGACGAUUCGGAGCGGUUCUUCUUCACGCCGAAGGACCAGAAAUAUCUCACUGGCAACCGUUCCAACCGAGCUACCAAGGCUGGCUACUGGAAAGCCACAGGGAAGGAUCGGAUGAUCGGGUCCAUAUCUCGGGUUCCUACAAUCAGAGGCACGAAGAAGAAGACCCUUGUGUUUUACCAAGACUGUGCCCCCAGGGGGCGUUCCCACUAAUUGGAUCAGACGAUCUCAGAUUUGGAUUUGAAUAACUGGUUUUAUUACGGGAUUUGAGUGAUUGAUCGAGAAAAUUUUCGAUCUCAAAAUCUGUGUAAAUACUUUAAUAUCAAUGAAUAAAAAUCAUCUAUUUCACCAAA